rnacentral:lncRNA from 1 species
GGAGAUGACUCGGGCGAUGAGAGGCGGGGCGAAUGAUGGUCAAAGAUGAAAGAAGAAUAAUAUUUUCAAUUGAAAUAAAGACUCAUUUUGUUUAUGAUGUUUAUUUUAAUUUUCUCACUUGGAUUCGGGUUUUUAGUUAUUUAUUUUAAAUAUUGAAACCUUGUUAUUUUUAUUCAAAGUACUUCUUUUUUAUUUAAUAAGAAAAUUGGGGCGUCA